AAACAAUCGAAGCCUUUUGGCUAAGAUCAAGUGUAGUAUCUGUUCUUGACAAUUUAAUAUCUGAUGCAUCCUCCAUCUGAAGACAAUAUAUUAAAUGGAUUUUUGGAAAUAGGAGAUGGAAUAGGAUCUGGCUUCACUCACUCCAUGUAGCUACCUGUAUUGCAGCACCUCCAGAACAAUGCACCAAAC
rnacentral:snRNA from 1 species